rnacentral:rRNA from 1 species
GCCAGCGUACUCUCCGGAGUGACGGGUACACUGUGGGGACCGCCGCUGCUAAAGCGGAGGAAGGAAUGGGCAACGGUAGGUCAGUAUGCCCCGAAUAUCCCGGGCUACACGCGAGCUACAAUGGUUGGUACAAUGGGUAUCUACCCCGAAAGGGACGGGAAUCUCCUAAAACCAAUCUUAGUUCGGAUUGAGGGCUGCAACUCGCCCUCAUGAAGCUGGAAUCCGUAGUAAUCGCGUUUCAACAGAACGCGGUGAAUACGUCCCCGCUCCUU